UACGUAGGGUGCAAGCGUUAUCCGGAAUGAUUGGGCGUAAAGCGUCUGUAGGUGGUUUGUUAAGUCUGUUGUGAAAGCCCCGGGCUCAACCUGGGAAUGGCAAUGGAUACUGGCAAGCUAGAGUGCGGUAGAGGGUAGUGGAAUUCCCGGUGUAGCGGUGAAAUGCGUAGAGAUCGGGAGGAACACCAGUGGCGAAGGCGGCUACCUGGACCAGCACUGACACUGAGGCACGAAAGCGUGGGGAGCAAACAGG
rnacentral:rRNA from 1 species